rnacentral:ncRNA from 4 species
AAAUUGCACCAGGGGUGCCUGUGUUCUCAACAGUCUGAGAGCCUCUUAGCCUGGACUGUUGUGAGAUGGGCUGAGAAAGUCCCUUUGAACCUGAACAGGAUAAUGCCUGCGAAGGGAGUGUGCAAUUCUAUUUUC